rnacentral:rRNA from 1 species
GACGAACGCUGGCGGCGUGCCUAAUACAUGCAAGUUGAGCGAUGAAGAUUGGUGCUUGCACCAAUUUGAAGAGCAGCGAACGGGUGAGUAACGCGUGGGGAAUCUGCCUUUGAGCGGGGGACAACAUUUGGAAACGAAUGCUAAUACCGCAUAACAACUUUAAACAUAAGUUUUAAGUUUGAAAGAUGCAAUUGCAUCACUCAAAGAUGAUCCCGCGUUGUAUUAGCUAGUUGGUGAGGUAAAGGCUCACCAAGGCGAUGAUACAUAGCCGACCUGAGAGGGUGAUCGGCCACAUUGGGACUGAGACACGGCCCAAACUCCUACGGGAGGCAGCAGUAGGGAAUCUUCGGCAAUGGACGAAAGUCUGACCGAGCAACGCCGCGUGAGUGAAGAAGGUUUUCGGAUCGUAAAACUCUGUUGGUAGAGGAGAACGUUGGUGAGAGUGGAAAGCUCAUCAAGUGACGGUACUACACAGAAAGGGACGGCUAACUACGUG